rnacentral:rRNA from 1 species
GCAUAUCAAUAAGCGGAGGAAAAGAAACUAACAAGGAUUCCCCUAGUAACUGCGAGUGAAGCGGGAAAAGCUCAAAUUUAAAAUCUGAUAGUCUUUGGCUGUCCGAGUUGUAAUCUAGAGAAGCAUUAUCCGUGCUGGACCAUGUGUAAGUCUCCUGGAAUGGGGCGUCAUAGAGGGUGAGAAUCCCGUCUUCAACAUGGACUACCAGUGCAUUGUGAUAUGCUCUCAACGAGUCGAGUUGUUUGGGAAUGCAGCUCUAAAUGGGUGGUAAAUUCCAUCUAAAGCUAAAUAUUGGCGAGAGACCGAUAGCGAACAAGUACCGUGAGGGAAAGAUGAAAAGAACUUUGGAAAGAGAGUUAAACAGUACGUGAAAUUGUUGAAAGGGAAACGCUUAAAGUCAGUCGCAUUGGUCAGGGAUCAACCUUGCUUUUGCUUGGUGUAUUUUCUGAUUAAUGGGUCAGCAUCAAUUUUGAUCAGUGGAAAAAGGCUGAGGGAAUGUGGCAUCUUUUGAUGUGUUAUAGCUCUCUGUCAUAUACAUUGGUUGGGAUUGAGGAACUCAGCAUGCCGCAAGGCCGGGUUUUAACCACGUUCGUGCUUAGGAUGCUGGCAUAAUGGCUUUAAUCGACCCGUCUUGAAACACGGACC